GACGAACGCUGGCGGCGUGCUUAACACAUGCAAGUCGAACGGAAAGGCCCUGCUUUUGUGGGGUGCUCGAGUGGCGAACGGGUGAGUAACACGUGAGUAACCUGCCCUUUACUUUGGGAUAACUUCAGGAAACUGGGGCUAAUACCGGAUAGGAGCUCCUGCUGCAUGGUGGGGGUUGGAAAGUUUCGGCGGUUGGGGAUGGACUCGCGGCUUAUCAGCUUGUUGGUGGGGUAGUGGCUUACCAAGGCUUUGACGGGUAGCCGGCCUGAGAGGGUGACCGGCCACAUUGGGCCUGAGAUACGGCCCAGACUCCUACGGGAGGCAGCAGUGGGGAAUAUUGCACAAUGGGCGGAAGCCUGAUGCAGCAACGCCGCGUGCGGGAUGACGGCCUUCGGGGUGUAAACCGCUUUCGCCUGUGACGAAGCGUGAGUGACGGUAAUGGGUAAAGAAGCACCGGCUAACUACGUG
rnacentral:rRNA from 1 species